CGGCAACGGAUAUCUCGGCUCUC
rnacentral:siRNA from 1 species